CGUUCUAGUGUAAUUUUGUUGCUUCCAUUCAUAGCUUCUUCCAUCUUUCAGAAAAAGAAAAGGAAAAAAAAAGAAAGGAUUUGCAUUCUUGUGUUUUGGUUUGAGAAUCUCUGUUAUUUUCUCUUGGUUCAACACUGAAAUCUGGAA